UUUGUUUUGACAUCAAGUUGCCCAGUUAGCUUCCCAGUCAGUUUUUCAGAGAAGACGGUGGGAAAUAAUUCUGUUAGAAGAUCAAGAUCCACAAUACAUCUCCGAACCCGGCCUCAUUCUUUACAAGUACACUUCAUGCAACCUAAAAUCUGCAAAGUUACAUAUUCCAAUCACGGGAUUCAAAAUAUGGUGAGUGAGUGUACAUAAUUGAUCGAGUCUGAUCGAUUGGGUUGACGGAGAUAGACCGGACCACGGAUUCCAAACGAUACAUCAUUUCGAUGAACUUGGUACUGCUAAGAUCAGUGUGUGUUGACCGCCGCCUGCUACUCGCAGGACUUUUUUUUCUUUGAGUUGUU